rnacentral:piRNA from 1 species
UCAAAUCUCGGUGGAACCUUACGUUUUC